rnacentral:rRNA from 1 species
UAAAGGUGAAGCCUGCCCAGUGACAAUAAGUUCAACGGCCGCGGUAUCCUAACCGUGCAAAGGUAGCGCAAUCAAUUGUCCCAUAAAUCGGGACUUGUAUGAAUGGCUUAACGAGGUCUUAACUGUCUCCUACGGAUAAUCAGUGAAAUUGAUCUUCCUGUGCAAAAGCAGGAAUAACUUCAUAAGACAAGAAGACCCUGUGGAACUUUAAAACCUGCUACCAUCCCCACCAACAAUUUUCCUCCACAGGACCCACUCCCUCGGAUUUUACUGGUACGCAUUUUUUGGUUGGGGCGACCUUGGAGAUAAACUUAACCUCCAAAAACCGGAUAACCCAUCUUGACCAAGAACAACUCAUCAACGUGCUAAUAGUAGCCAGACCCAAUAUAAUUGACUAAUGAACCUAGCUACCCCAGGGAUAACAGCGCAAUCUCCUUCAAGAGCCCACAUCGACAAGGAGGUUUACGACCUCGAUGUUGGAUCAGGACAUCCUAGUGGUGCAACCGCUACCAAGGGUUCGUUUGUUCAACGAUUAA